UGGGGAAUAUUGGGCAAUGGGGCGAAAGCCUGACCCAGCAACGCCGCGUGAAGGAAGAAGGUCUUCGGAUUGUAAACUUCUUUUAUGAGGGACGAAGGACGUGACGGUACCUCAUGAAUAAGCCACGGCUAACUACGUGCCAGCAGCCGCGGUAAUACGUAGGUGGCAAGCGUUAUCCGGAUUUACUGGGUGUAAAGGGCGCGUAGGCGGGGAUGCAAGUCAGAUGUGAAAUCUAUGGGCUUAACUCAUAAACUGCAUUUGAAACUGUAUCUCUUGAGUGCUGGAGAGGUAGAUGGAAUUCCUGUGU
rnacentral:rRNA from 1 species